rnacentral:tRNA from 1 species
CCUGAUAGCUUAGUUGGUAAAGAACCUGCCUACAAUGCAGGAGACCCGGGUUAGAUCCCUGGGUCAGGA